rnacentral:rRNA from 1 species
AAUAUUGGACAAUGGGGGCAACCCUGAUCCAGCCAUGCCUCGUGUGUGAAGAAGGUCUUCGGAUUGUAAAGCACUUUAAGUUGGGAGGAAGGGCUUUAGGUUAAUAGCCGGAAGUUUUGACGUUACCAACAGAAUAAGUACCGGCUAACCCUGUGCCAGCAGCCCGGGUAAUACAGAGGGGGCAAGCGUUAAACGGAAUUACAGGGGGUAAAGCGGGCGUUGGUGGUUCAGGAAGGUUGGUGUGAAAUCCCCGGGCUUUACCCGGGAACUGCUUUUAAUACCGCCGAGCUAAAGGAAGGGAGAGGGGAAGGGAAUUUUCUGUGUAGGGGUGAAAUUCGGAGAUUUAAGAAGGAAAACCAGUGGGGAAGGGGACUUACUGGACUGGAAAUUACAAUUAGGUUCGAAAGCGUGGGGGGGAAAC